GAUGAACGCUGGCGGCGUGCCUAAUACAUGCAAGUCGAGCGAACAGACGAGGAGCUUGCUCCUCUGAUGUUAGCGGCGGACGGGUGAGUAACACGUGGAUAACCUAUCUAUAAGACUGGGAUAACUUCGGGAAACCGGAGCUAAUACCGGAUAACAUGUUGAACCGCAUGGUUCAACAGUGAAAGACGGUCUUGCUGUCACUUAUAGAUGGAUCCGCGCCGCAUUAGCUAGUUGGUAAGGUAACGGCUUACCAAGGCAACGAUGCGUAGCCGACCUGGGAGGGUGAUCGGCCACACGGGAACUGAGACACGGUCCAGACUCCUACGGGAGGCGGCAGUAGGGAAUCUUCCGCAAUGGGCGAAAGCCUGACGGAGCAACGCCGCGUGAGUGAAGAAGGUCUUCGGAUCGUAAAACUCUGUUAUUAGGGAAGAACAAAUGUGUAAGUAACUAUGCACGUCUUGACGGUACCUAAUCAGAAAGCCACGGCUAACUACGUG
rnacentral:rRNA from 1 species